rnacentral:rRNA from 1 species
UGGGUACUACGAGCGAGUGCUUAAAACUCAAAGAACUUGGCGGCUUGUUAACUACCUAGGGGAAUAUGCGCCUUAAUCCGAUGGUCCCCGCAACAUCUUACUGGAUCUUGAAAGAGUGCAGUCGGUGUAUUGCCGUUGUCAGCUUGUUGUUCGAGCAAAGAAAAACAGGCUUAAUGGGUCUCUAGGGAUUAGGUUCGUGAGAAUCCAUGAAUUCAGGUCGUAAUGCUGCCUACGGUCCAAGGGAGUGGGUAUUACAAUUUAUAUUUAAAACUACGGAUCUUUAUUGUGAAAUUUUAGGGAAGAAGG